GUUUCUUACAAAAUUUUGAUCUUGAUGGUAAUUACUGAUUAGUUUAAGAAAAAGGACCAACUCAAAGAAAAAUUAGAGUGUCCAUUCGGAUUAGGGAUAGGAAUUGGGAAAUUGAUUGUCGUUUAUUUCACUCUUUUUAGGUUUUAUAAUUAUUAUCUUUUAAUUGUUUUUAAACAAUUGUGCUUAUAUGGAAAUUACAAUUGACAAUACGUAUCGAAAUUGCAUCUUGCGCUUGGUCAACACUGAUGUGAACUCCAGUGAUAUUGAAAAUUUCAUGAGCCUAGAUUUGUCAACAUCAAUG
rnacentral:misc_RNA from 1 species